GACGAACCGUGCGAACGUUGUUCGGAUUCACUGGGCUUAAAGGGCGCGUAGGCGGCUUGCCAAGUCCGGGGUGAAAUCUUUCGGCUCAACCGGAAAAGUGCCUUGGAUACUGGCGGGCUAGAGGGAGAUAGGGGUGCGUGGAACUUCUGGUGGAGCGGUGAAAUGCGUAGAUAUCAGAAGGAACGCCGGUGGCGAAAGCGACGCACUGGACCUCUACUGACGCUGAGGCGCGAAAGCCAGGGGAGCGAACGGG
rnacentral:rRNA from 1 species